UUUAUACGGCAUUUAUCUAUGCAUUGCCCACAGUGUGUGCUUCAUUGCAUACAAAACACAGCUGUAAUUGUUGUUGUUUUUAUUUGCGCUUACCAAUCCUUUACCCUGCUCAGAACACACGCACACACAGACACGGAGUUUCAAUCAUGCAUACACACAUAUCUGCGCAUUUACAUUCAGCACGUACACACACGCUCUAACACCAAUACAUAUGGCGAGGGUUCGUUGUGGACUCCAUUUGGCUUCGCUUGGGCACUUGAAUUGCCGUCACCUUCUUCAUCGUYGUCGUCGUCGUCUGUCUUUCCAGUACCUUCGUGCAGCGCAAUACGCGCGGUGUGUGUUUUGACUCGCGCAGAGUUUCUUAUUUGCCGCCCGCUCGUUAACUUUUUUGCAAUAUGUUGGCGCAGGUUCAGCGAAAACCCGUGCUCGGCCACAGUUCAACGUUUGUGUCACCUGCGAAAUAAAAYAUGCAUUUUAAUCACUGCAAGCAAACUAAUUAAAAACUAAACAACUAAUCUUAAAUAUAUUAAACAAA